rnacentral:lncRNA from 1 species
AUCCUUAGUCAUGCCAGAUUCCUAACAUUUUAUUAUUUUUUUCUAUUUAAUUCAAGUCCAUGUUAUAAGUCUUACAAAAAAAAAUCUCGAGUCUAGACGUAAAGAAAAAUGUUAAAUAUAUAAACACCGUUAUCUAGCAGCUUAAGUUUUUAGAGUACAACUGUUAUUAAAAUUUAAGCUAAUUACUUAUUGUAAUAAAUUUUAUAAUUACAUAAAUUGUAAAAAAUAUACUAAUUAAAUCUGUAAAGAUAAACGGCGCAUUCAAAAUUUUAAAGUUAACGAGUCAUUAAUUGACUCAAAUCAAAUAAAUUAAAAGGUCAAAUAGUGAAAUCAAAAUUUUUAAAAUUAGAUAGUGAAAUUCAAAUAAAUGAUAGUUAUGAUAAGUUCUCUAUAUUUUUAUCACCAGAUUAACUGGGUACUAUCGGUAGUAAACCGUGCGGUUUACUACCAAUUUGUUUUUGAUGAUAAAGCUUUCAAAUCGACGAUCGGCACCGUUGAACAUGAUCUAAACCAUUUAAACUAUUUAGAAAUCAAAUUUUAUGAUUUUUUGACAUCACUAACCAAACAAUCAAAGGGUCACAAAAUUUAUAAUUUUAAUAGCUGAUAUGGUGCGUUUGCUCGUUUAACAGUAUAGAAUAGCUCAAAUCAACUAAAAUUUUGUUAGAAAAUUCUUUAAACUAUUUAAAAUAAGAAUAUUCAUUUUCAGCCAUCUAUUUUUUUGUUCACUUGAUAAACAAGAGAACAAUAUUGAAAAUGCAUAAAAUUUGAUUUCCAGAUAGUUUAAAUGGUUUAAAUCAUAUUUAACGGUGCCGAUCAUCAAUAUGAGAGUUCUAUCAUCGAAAACAAAUUGGUAGUAAACCAAAUCGUUUACUAUCGAUAGUAUUAUAGCAAAGCUCUUUUUAUCACUUCUAAAACUUGAAAAUUGUAAGGACUUAUCCUCUAUUCAGAAAUUUGGCUGGAGUUCAAAAGUUUUUAUACUUCCAAUUAACUGUUAAUAAUACCCUCUCUAUACUUUUUUUCCGAAUUAACUGUUAAUAAUACCUUCUCAAUUGUUUGGCAGUUUGAAAGAAGCGCCUUAACUUUACUCUUUUUAUCUUGGUAAAAAUAUAUAAAUCUUAUUUCAACUAUCACCCAUUUAAAUUUUACGAUUUAAUCUUAAAAAAUUUGAAUUUUACCAACUUACUUUUUAAUUUAUUUAAUUUGAAUUAAUUAGUGACUCUUUAACUUUCAAAAUUUGAAUGUGUUAUUUAUCUUUACAGAUUUAAUUAGUAUAUUUUAUAAGUUAUCAUAAAAUUAAUAUCUUGAAAAAAUUCUACUUAAAUUUAAAUUUAAUAAAAAUAAUUUAUUAGAAGAUUUAAGUAUAAUUUAUUAUCAUAUUUAGGUACCAAUAAUAUAUUUUAAUAUAAUAAUAUAAUUAAUAAUUUACAUAAUAAAAAUAAUUUAUUAUAUAAUAUAAUGUCUAGAUAACUUCCUUUAAUUUAAUAUAUAAUCUUAAUAAAACUUGGAAUUAAAUAUUGGAACAGCACUAUUCGAUCAAAAUGGUGGAAUAAGUUAUUCUGAGCAUUCAGUGAUAAUUGAAAAUAAUAUAAUUUAAUCAGAAUAAAAUAUUCUGAUAAAAAAAUACUUUAUUGUCCAAAUAGUAAGGAUAAAUUUUGUUAUCCCCAAACCAAACGGGAUCUUUCGGUUAGAUAUAAUUAUAAAUGUAACAUAUUAGAGAUGCAUAUAGUUGAAAAUGCAGCCGUCGCAACUACUAUCCAGUUUGGUUGGAUACAGUAGAAAGUAUUGCAACUGCAAAUAAUUUAUUUGGUUACACGUAGUUGAGAAAUAAUUUUUAAAAUUUUAUUAUUUUAUAUAUAUGAUGGCGAGAUUACCUUCAGGGUGCGUUUGGUUCGCAUUAUCUUUUUAAGAUUCCUAGUAAUUGAAUAGGAAUAAAAAAAUAUAGCGGUGUUUGGCUAAACGCACUAAGUAAUCUAGUUGGUAAUAUUAAAUUUACUUGGGAAUGAGAUUUAUCCCAAAUUACUAAUCUCAUUCCCUUGAGAGAGGAUGGAUAUCUUCAUAUUAAUGGAUCGGGAUAAUCAUAAUAUGUCUAAUCUCUUUCUUUCUCUUUACUCGCUGGCUAGUUGGUAUUAUUUUUCUUUACACUCUAACCUUAUGUCUCUAUCUAAAUUUAUCUUUUUCUCUUUAAACUUCAAUUAUUUUUCUCUCUCUAAACUAAGCUCUCUCUCUCCCUCUUUUUCUAAAAUCUCAACUAUUUCAUUCUUUCUAAUCUCGACUCCAUUUCUCUUUCUAUUUCUUUAAUUAUGAUAUCUCUCUCUCUAACCUAUGUUCUCUCUCCUUUUUUUUCAAAUUUUUUAUAGCAUUAUCUAAAAUUAAUUAAAAAAUAAAUAAAUUAAUUGUAUAUUUUUUUUGUAAUCUUAAAUAGCAUGACUAAAUAAUAUGACCGUACGAACCAAAUACAGAAAUGUCAUAUUCUUAGUAAUAGGAUGAAUAAGAAUAAGAUUUUCGGAUAUCUUUUUAUUCCUAGUAAUCUUUCAUAGUGCAAACCAAACGCAGCACCCUCAAUGUAAAAAAAAUUAUUUUUUGUUUAAAAAAAUAAUUAAGGAGGUAAGCUCAUCUUUCGUUUAAAGUUACUCUUUCCAAAUACUGCAGUUAGAACUACGGCCAAUUUGGGCGUAGUUCCUACUACUACAGUUGGACCUCCUCCCGUAAUUCCUACUGCAACAGUUGAAAUUAAAUACAUCAAACUAAAUAUCGAAUUUGUAUUUAUAUACAGUUAUAAUUACUAUAUGAUUAUAACUAUAAGCAACCAAACGGCCUCUUGUUGGGUAAAUU